CUGCUGGUUAAGUGCGGUCUGUACAGGGUCCAAAGCCUCCGCGCCCGCAGACUCCAUAUCUGACGCGCUCAUUUGUCAGGAAAUGUCAAUAAAGUUCAGGAAUCAGAGUCUCAAAUGCGGGAUCAAAAAGUUUAUUAAAUGAAAAUAACACUGAUACUGUAGGGAUACGCUUGAAGACGAAGCACCCGACUGAUUUCAGAUAGACAGAAAAUAUAAAUCCACACUAGUCCACAAUCCACAGGGGAAAGAGUCUCUCACACUGCACCGCCGAAGAAGUCCAAUAGUGACGAGGAGGUCCACCCACUUCCGAUGACGUCACACAUUAGGAAGCCGAAGACAGCUGGUAUACGCUUGAAGACGAAGCAACCAACUGCGCGAAAACUCAGGAAACUAGACAGUAAUCCACUGACAAAACACACAGGAUCGAGAAUCCUGGACAGAGACAAGAGUCCGGAUGUCGGCGAUUGAACCUGGGGCGAGAGCAGAGAUGGUGAGAUAAAUAACAGCGGACGGCUCUACCUGGACAGGGAGCGAGACAGUAACCAACCGAGAACAAUGAGCGCGUGACAAAGGACAAAACGCAAGACUAUAAAAAGACCAAAAGGAAUAGGACACGUCUGGGAAACAAUCAGAGAAACGAAUGGGAGGAGCGAGUGCACACGUGAGGAACCAACACCAAAGAAUCCUCUCUGCCUCCGUUGCUAUGGAAUCUGAGCCAGUCCUCUUUGCUAUUGGGUGAUUUCUUCUUCGGUACUCGUAAUUGACAGGGAUUCUCUCAUACGCGAAAAUCAUUGUCCAGGUAAGUCACGAUGCUUUCGUUUAAAGUUCACUAUUUGUUUAAAUGUUAUAAUUCACGCCUUUCUUUUGGCAUUAGGGUGACAUUGCCAUACCCGUACGAAAAUUAACCAUGUUUUUGUGGUAAAAGUGUAGUAACUACGGUUUGUGUAUCGAUUAUUUGCAAAAUGGUUUUACUAAACCAAACAUGGUUUAACUUUUUUUUUUCAAAUUCAUGGUUCUUUCUUAACUUGCAACCUAUCUCUAUAUACUGCAUCUGUUGUACCUGUCUGUCCAGCUGUGUGUUUGUCUUUCUGUCUUUGUCUGCUUUGCAAUGGCCACCAGAUAUACCCAUCACAAACAGGAUCCCCACUACCAAGAGGGGAGGCUCAUGGCUCUUGAGCUGAACCAUGACCACAUUCUAGCUGAAGCCAAGAGAGCAGCUGUGGAGACGAAACGUUUAUGCCCUAGAAGAGACCCUUCACAGACCUCUAAAAGGAUCUUUGUUGGCUGGGGCAAGCCGAGGGGGAGGCAAGGAGGGUGACGCCAAGCCUCAGCUACAGGUCACUUUUACAGGUUGAGUGCUUCCUGUCAUCCAGUGUGGAGAUUUCACCUAACUGUACCCUCAGCAAAACUAAAUCCUCAUGAGGAAUUUGGUGCAGAGAGUGGUUCUGUGGGGGGACCGUGAUGUAUUACGUCACAAAAAACAGCCACUCCCCAAUAGGGAAUGUGUAAUUAAUAGGUUUUUUGUAGCCAUCCGUCCAACCAAAUGCAUCAUUAAAGGGGAAGAUGGAUAUUGCACUCAACACAAGGGUGUUUUGACUUGCAUUAGCCACUAUAUGUCUGUUAAACAUGCAAACAGCAAAGGACCCCAGACCUGAAAGACCUUCUGAGGAGUGGAUAUUGGCCAGCUUCAAUAAACAACACCACACUUUACACAUUGGACCUCCUGAUCUCCUUUCAAGAACUCAAGGUCAUCUCUCCAAGCUUCUCCAGACAAGCCUUCGCAAAGCUGCUGGAGCAUCGCACGAAGUGUGGAGGAAGAUUUGGAUAUAUCAAUGGCGAUGCACUGCAACGCAGCUUCUUGGAGUUUUCAUAUGCUUCAUUUGAAGCAGGCCAGCUCUGCUGUGGUGCUCCUUUCACCUGCCAAGCCUGGACGCUAGAAUUGUUGGCUGCUUCAGCAGAUGGAAACAGAAAGCUAUAUCGCUUUUGCCCAAACAGAAGCUCUGGUGAUCCUGUUUUUUGUGGCUGAAGACAGUGCGGUGUCUAGAUUUGUCAACACCAUCCAAAAAGCACUGAAAAUGCAA